rnacentral:rRNA from 1 species
GAAACACGGACCAAGGAGUCUAGCAUGUGCGCGAGUCAUUGGGAAUAACUAAACCUAAAGGCGCAAUGAAAGUGAAGGUCAGCCCAGCGCUGACCGAGGGAAGAUGGGCGGUCACGGUUUCCGUGCCGCUCCGCACUCCCGGGGCGUCUCGUUCUCAUUGCGAGAAGAGGCGCACCAAGAGCGUACACGCUGGGACCCGAAAGAUGGUGAACUAUGCCUGGUCAGGACGAAGUCAGGGGAAACCCUGAUGGAGGUCCGUAGCGAUUCUGACGUGCAAAUCGAUCGUCGGAACUGGGUAUAGGGGCGAAAGACUAAUCGAACCAUCUAGUAGCUGGUUCCCUCCGAAGUUUCCCUCAGGAUAGCUGGCGCUCGUCGCCUACGAGUCUCAUCCGGUAAAGCGAAUGAUUAGAGGCAUUGGGGUCGAAACGGCCUCAACCUAUUCUCAAACUUUAAAUGGGUGAGAUCUCCGGCUUGCUCGAACUUAUGAAGCCGCGAGACACGGAUCAGAGUGCCAAGUGGGCCAUUUUUGGUAAGCAGAACUGGCGCUGUGGGAUGAACCAAACGCCGAGUUAAAGCGCCUAAAUCGACGCUUAUGGGAUACCAUGAAAGGCGUUGGUAACUUAAGACAGCAGGACGGUGGCCAUGGAAGUCGGAAUCCGCUAAG